GACGAACGCUGGCGGCGUGCUUAACACAUGCAAGUCGAACGGAAAGGCCCUGCUUGCAGGGUCCUCGAGUGGCGAACGGGUGAGUAACACGUUGGUGAUCUGCACUGCACUUCGGGAUAAGCCCGGGAACCGGGGUCUAAUACCGGACAGGAGACAUAUUGCGUGUGAUGGUUGGAGCGUUUUUUCGGUUUGGGAUGAGCUCGCGACCUGUCAGCUUGUUGGUGUGGUAGCGGCUUACCAAGGCGGCGACGGGUAGCUGGCCUGAGGGGGUGGACGGCCAAGUCAGGAUUGAGAUGCGGCCCAGACUCCUACGGGAGGCAGCAGUGGGGAAUAGUGUACAAUGGGCGGAAGGCUGAUGCAGCGACGCCGCGUGGGGGAUGACGGCCUGCGGGUUGUAUUCUACUUUCGCUUGGGACGAAGCGUUUGUGACGGUACCUGGAUAAGAAGCUCCGGCUAACUCCGUG
rnacentral:rRNA from 1 species